CCUACGGGUGGCAGCAGUGGGGAAUAUUGCACAAUGGGGGAAACCCUGAUGCAGCGACGCCGCGUGAGCGAUGAAGUAUCUCGGUAUGUAAAGCUCUAUCAGUAGGGAAGAAAAUGACGGUACCUGACUAAGAAGCCCCGGCUAAUUACGUGCCAGCAGCCGCGGUAAUACGGAGGGGGCAAGCGUUAUCCGGAUGUACUGGGUGUAAAGGGAGCGUAGACGGCGGUGCAAGCCAGAUGUGAAAGCCUGGGGCUCAACCCCGGGACUGCAUUUGAAACUGUGCUGCUAGAGUGUCGGAGAGGCAGGCGGAAUUCCUAGUGUAGCGGUGAAAUGCGUAGAUAUUAGGAGGAACACCAGUGGCGAAGGCGGCCUGCUGGACGGUGACUGACGUUGAGGCUCGAAAGCGUGGGGAGCAAACAGGAUUAGAUACCCGAGUAGUC
rnacentral:rRNA from 1 species